rfam:Oryza rufipogon genomic scaffold, chr04
UACAAACCCUGUUUUCGUGUUCAAUGUUUGACUAUCCGUCUUAUUUGAAAAAAUUAUGAAAAAAAUUAAAAAGACAAGUCAUGCAUAAAAUAUUAAUCAUGUUUUAUCAUCUAACAAUAAUGAAAAUACGAAUUAUAAAAUAAUUUUAUAUAAGACGGACAAUUAAAAUUGGACACGGAAACCCAGGGUUUAUUUUUUU